GCAAAAAACAUGGAGAGUGAGAAGAGGAAAGAGGAGAGAAAACCAAGGCAAAGAUGGAGAGAAGGUCUUCUUAACCUUGAUCAUUGUAUCAGAGAACUUUUAAUUAUCUGAGAAUGACCAGAAGACCCAUGGGAUCUGUCUGCAUUCUCAUGCAAGCAGACACGGAGGAACUUGGCCUCAGGAGUGAACAGCAAAGACACCAGCAGAGAUGCUUUCAGAUUAAGCACUUGAGUUCCACUUGUAAAAUGUUAAGAUUACAUUUGCUUUAUUGAAGAUAAAUUUUUCCCUCUUUUUUUUAGUUCUACUUUUUGAUGACUUUUGAGGUAAGGGAUUGAAAUAAAAAUGUCUUUACCAACUUUAA